GCGCUCCGGGGCGCCCCACCCCGCCCCGCGCCCCGGCUGCGCUGGCCUCCUUGUCAAUGGGAGCGCGGGCUGGGCGGACCGUGCAGCUCUCAGAGGUUGCUAGGACACUUACGCAGAUCUAUCAGAUGUAAGGAGAAAAAAUCCAGCAACCUUGCCUGUGUUCUACUAUCCCUGCAGGACUGCAUUUGAAAGACAGAAGAGUGGUUAAAACAUGACAUCAUUUAAACCAGAGAAAUCUGAAAUGGACACAGCUGCCAACAAAGACUACCAAGUGUUUCUGGCUCAUGUGCAGUCUCCAGUUUCCAUAGAAACCAAGCAAAGAAAAUUUGCUAAAGGAAGACUAAAAAAUAAGUAGAUUCAGCCUCCCAGAUAUGCAGUGGAUGGAAGGACAAACAACAUCUCAAGCAACAUUUUAUUUCAAUUCCUUAUCCUCUGACCUGAUUAAAACCUGUUUGUGUGACCUGGAAUACCUACAAAGAGAAUGGAUUAGACAUUUUUGGAGGGUGGGGUGUUUGCCCAACCUGUAGCCUCUUUCUUGGGCAUUUUCUUCUAUCUCCAUAACUCAAAGAGUGAGCCCUGAGCAGCCUUGUGUCUCCUUACAUCUCUGACCACAGUUGAUUGGAUGAAACUGGGCCAACCAAAUACUCUCUCCUUCAGAUGUUGGUUGGGGAUUGAGAAACAUGUCAUACCCGGCUAGCCCCUUGAAGUGGCAUAUGGAAGUGAAAAUAUAGAUGUAUUUAUUCAAAAUUCUCAGACAGGCAAAGAAAACAAGUAUGUAGAGAGCAAAUAAAGCAAUCAUACAGAUAGAUAUCUUGACUACUAGGUCCUGGGGAAAACCAGAGAAUAACUCAAGCCCCUUGAUGGCCUUCUAUUCCAUGGCUACUGUCCUUCACGAGCUUACUUGGUGUUUGGUAUGCCCUUGAGUUUGGCAAGAUAGAUGCCCUGUGAACGUCUCAUAAAUUGUCAUAAUUUUCCUAAUCUGGGUUUAGUGGAUUCUUUCCCAGUGCCAACCAAGAACCUUGACUAAGAAAGAGAACUUGGAGGACUGGAACUAGUGAAGAUUUGAAGAAGAGAAGAUUAACUGGUGACCCAGGGGCUUCAUAUUU